CUGCACAAGUUAGUGGUUACUUGGGCAUGGUUGCUCUCUCAUUUCAGAGUCUCCUUUUGAAGUGGUUCAAAGGUAGAGAGCACUUUAGGAGAAUGGUGUGUUUUAAAACCUGGCUGGCAUUUACAAUGUUCUGCUCUGUUCUUCUCUGCAUUAGCUAUAAGAUAGUGGGCUUUAGUUUGCAGUAGAGAUCUUGUGGCUCAGGAGCCUGAAGAGUUUACUACUCAGCUCUGUGAAUCUUCUUUAAGAUGAUCUUUGAGAAUACCUUUCCAUGUCGUCCUUAAAGCAAGCUAUUGUCAUCCAUUGCUAGCAUUCAGAUUCUCAAGACAAGUAUGUCAUGAGAAAUGAACCUGCAAAGACUACCUGCUUUCUUACCACACUCAUUUCUCCUCACCACUUGUGCCUGCUGAAGUCUCUCCUCAAUCCUCUGCCAAGUGACUACUUGUUGUCUGGAAACUUCUGAGGACACUGGGGAAUCUGGUGGUAACAUGGGCAAG
rnacentral:lncRNA from 1 species